rnacentral:lncRNA from 1 species
AUUUUCAUAAUAUUUUCUCUUAAGGCAUUACAUGCCGUAAAUUUCAUACCUGUGGUCCACAACUGUUCCCAGUCAGCAAACAUAAUAUUAUGUCCAACAUUUUGUGCCCAUUUAAUCAUAGCAGAUUUCACCGUUUCAUCCUGAGUAUUCCAUUUCAACAGCAAGUUAUACAUCUUUGACAAAAUCUUAGUUUUGGGUUCUAACAAUUCUGUUUCUAAUUUUGAUUUUUCCACCUGGAAGCCAAUUUUCUUGUCCGAAUUAUAUGCCUCCAUUAUCUGAUAAUAAUGAAGCCAGUCUCGCACUUUGUUUUUUAGUUUUUCAAAACUCUGCAGUUUCAAUCUAUCUCCAUCUUGUUCCAAAAUUUCCCAAUAUUUCGGCCAUUUGACCUCCAUAUUGAGCUUUUUCAGAGCUUUCGCUUCCAUCGGUGACAGCCACCUUGGGGUUUUAUUUUCCAAUAAAUCCUUAUAAUUCUAUGAUUCUAUGUCUAAGCAGUUUACAGAAAAUGGUGUCUCAUCAUUAUCAAGUUCAUUUGGAUAUGUAUUUGGACAUGUGCACAAUUUACCUUAAUAUUUAUAUAUGUUUAGAUUAGGAUUGAUGCAUUAUUCUUAUCUUUCUUGAUGGGUUGUGCUCAUUGUUAAUGGGAACUAGUGUCAGAUCUUCAAACUACUGAAUAAUGUUUGUCCUUCCAAACCUGGAAUUUAUGCCUCUUUUUUGUCCACCUGUUAGUCCCCUCACCUAAUGUGCACAAACAUCUGCAAAUAUCAAUAAUUUUUCCAUAACAAAGUUAACUUUGACCAGAAGAGACACCCCAUGGACACCCCCAUACUCAGUGGGGCAUUAUGAACAUUACAUCAUCUGAACUAGCCAAUUCCUUCCUAUGCUAUGGAGUCCAAUUUAUGCAAAACUCCAUUUUAAAAAUCCAAAUCUAAUGCCUAUCUCUAUUAUGAAUUUUAUUGAUGUAUCCAGCAGGCACACGGAACUCCUGUCUCAUUUUCAUUGGAUUCAUCAGCUAAACCUGAAAUGUUCUUUGCCAUAUGAUACUGUGUCUGAUUAAUUAAAAAUCUACUCCCCCACCGCAACCUCCUUUGAGGACUUGUUUGCAAUCAAUACAUGGAUCUGCAAUCAUGGAACAGCACACUCCUCCACCGCAAGUAGGAGAGACAUGAUGGGCUGUCACGCCUGCUGUGGAUUAAGCUCCAUUGAUUAAUGAGAUGAGAUGUCAAGGAUGAGGCUGCUGUUUCAGGGGUGCAAUAUCCAGUCAUUUUCAUCCUCUCUCCUGCUGAUGUCAUUGAAACUUCCCUGAGGAACCGGAAUAACAGCAGGCUCUUGAAUACAGCCAGUGGCUCUUUCGGUGUGGAUUGAUGCAGUUAGAAAAAUCCUUGCAGGAUAAUAGAAGGUAAGGCUUGAAAUCACAACCAUUCCCUUAGUGUGCCCACCGCAUCCAACCCAGUAUCUAACUGUUCUCCCUGGCACUGCCUGUUAAUUACUUUUGGGACAGCGAAUGUUGCUGAUGGAUUAUACAUCACCCAGACAACAAUCCAAUUUUGCUGCACACCAGAUUGGAACAUUGCUUUGUGUGACUUGAAAGUGAAUGCCAGGAGGAAGGGGGAGCAAUAAAAGUAUGGAAAUAUUUUCUAGAUAGGGAGAAUUAUGAGCAAAAGGGAGGAAAUCCUUAUAUUGCCCCAUUUAGUAGCUUGCUCAUUGCUUUAUUAGUUGGCAUCUGUGUGUCUCAAGCGACACAGAAGAAUGUGCCAUUGGGGGUGAAGUCAGAUUGCUGAAGAGUUAGAGCGCCUGCUAUGGCUUUAGAGACCAAUAUAGGAGAGACACGUUUAAUUGCAGCUGGGGCAGAUGAAGGUGCCCAGUUUGACUAUUACAGAUGCACCCCAGUGUUUCUUCUCUCUGCACUCCUCCGUCGGCUCUUCCUUGCUAAGAAACGCUUCUUCAUUUGCUGCACCCCGCUGCAGGCGUCCAACUCUCUCUCCUUACACAUUUGGGGCAUCAGGACAUAGUACCAGUGUGGCAAAGUGCUUAGAGUGUCAGGCUAGGAGCUGGGAGUUCAAAUCCCCUCUCAGCCAUGAAUCUUACUAGGUCGCCUUGGGUCAGUCACUGCCUCUCAGCCUACCCUACCUCACAGGGUUGUUGUGGGGAUCAAAUGAGAAGGAGGAGUACGGUGAACAGGACCUUGAGCUUUUUGGGGGAAAGGUGGGAUAUAAUGGUUGGCAUCCACCUGUCUCAAGAGACAAUGGAGUGCACCUGUGGGAAUGAAGUUAGCAACACCAAAGUGACCUCCCUGGAGGGCCUGAGCUGCCCAGACAACAAAGGAAAGCAGAGCGGUAUGUUUGGCACCAGCUUGGCUGUCGGAAUUCCCAGAAGGAGGCAUACAAGGUGCAAAGCAUCUUGACUGAUGCUGCUUCAGAAGGUUCAACCACAUGUGUUUCAAAAUGGGUCAAAAUACAACCUGGGUUCAGGCAUCCCAGUUUGGGUGGGGCAAGGAUGCACACACAAGCCCCACCCUCAGUAUCACAGUGUGCACCCUCACCCCCCAUCUCAGGCCCUGUCUUGUGCUGAGGAAACCUGCAUGGGGCUUCUAUUCAUGUCCAUUUGAGCAUGAGUAGGACCCCCCCACACACACACAGCUGGGAACCUGAUUAAAGCAGGUUCCCUGAGCUCUAGCCAUCAUGUCCAGUAGUCAAGGAUUUGUAGUCCAGAGGCAUCUGAAAUGAACCCUUUUGGCUGCCCUGUGCAGACCUCCCUCAUGCAACUUGCAGGAACACACCUCAUUUAUCACUGGCCAAGCAAAGCAUGGCUUUAGGUUCAACCUACUGUUUGCCUGUAGCUUUAGACCCCAUCAGAGAGGCUGGGGGGGGGUCUUGUAGUCUGGCCAGCCCAGGACCUCCAUACACAGGACCUCCAGGCUUAUGUCCCAGAGAGGUCACUUUGGUGCUGAAAACACAGCAAAAAUAACACAGGUUGAUACAAGUUAUAAGUUCAGCCUGGUUGACGAAAGGUACAAGCACUACAGGUUGCCUUUGUUGGUGGGAGACUCUACUGUGUACAGUCAGGUGGUGUAUCUACAGAGGAGGAAUGACUGCUUGGAGGACUGCAGAGAGAAGAAAUGCCAUAGUGCACCUGCAGUAGCACAACUGGAUGCCUUCAUCUGCCCCAGCUGCAACAAAACAUGUAUUUCCUGUAUCCAUAGAAGCCAACACCCAGGGCCCAAUUUCCCUUCAGCCCCCCCAAUAAAAUAUUUGAGGGGCUCAUCCUUCCCCAAAGUUGAUGACCAUUGCCAUUCAAAUGGUGUCCAUGCACCAUGUCUUGUGAUAGAUUAUGAGGGGCGGGGCUCACCUGCCCCUCAGUCUCAUCAGUCUGCUCAUCAGUCUCUGCAGCCACAGCAGGCACAGUAACUCUCCAAGAGUUUGACUUCACUCCCCAAGGUGCACUCUUUCAUUGUCUCCUGAGACAGACAGAAACACUCGCACCCCCACAUCACCAUUGCUCCAGUCAAGUGUGCUGCCCCAACAGCUGCCUUAUGUCCGACCCCAGAGGUCAAAUCACAGAAGUCCCACCUAAAAUGCCAUUUGGCCCCCAGCCUUCCUUGUCUUUUCUCAAUUAAAGGCAAAACUAAUUUUCUUGUCUGUUUUCUUAUUCUGGGACUCAAAGGCAGAAUAUUGCCUGGUAGUUGUGCCUUCUCUUCUUGGCUCCAGGAACAUCCGUUUGCUCAUAGGCAAACACCUUCAGCUUGACAACUACCUGGAGAAAAGAUGAUCUCUUCACUUUGCAGGGCUCCUUAGCCAUAUGCAUGGUCCAGUAGACUGGCUCUGAUGGCCUGGAGCAGGAAGAUUUCCAAACUAAAAGAACAGAUGGACAAAUGAUGGCCAAUAAGAUAGAUCCAGCCCCGAAAGUAACUUUUUUGUCUUGCACACUGCUGGCUGUUAAAUGGGAAUAGUAAUGUGGCAAGGGUUGCUCAAUUUCACUUAAAAUAAAUUCAUCAAUAGGACUCUGUGGGUACUUCCAGACUGUCACUAUCUUACAGGCAAGAUUCAAUCACAAGCCAACAAAUUCAUGUUGCACAAUUAUAGUUGUUUGGAAGGUCUUGUGUAACGAACACUCUUUGCCUGAAGAUUGGACUUUUUAGUGAUAGGUAAAGUAAUGGAAAAGUGAACUGGAAAGUAUGGGAUAACACUUGUCAUUUAAUAUCACAAACAAUUCAGAAUUUAAUGGUCAUUAAAUAUCCAACAUUGUCUAAUCUCCUGCAAACCAAUCAGAAUAAAUGCUGUAAUAAGCCAGUCAUUUGGAGCCCAACUUCUAUUUUGUUUCAUGUAAAUUGUAUUCCAUUGCUAUUUCAUGAGCGUUCAGGAAAGGAAAGGCGGAUGUUGCCAGUCUACUUCUUAGGAAGAUCUUUUGGAGAACAAAAGCCACCCGCGUCCCUUUGGUUAAAUAUGGCUUGGACU